UGGGAACUACCUAUUUCUACGGAACAACAGUUGGAAACGACUGCUAAUACCGUAUACGCCCUUUGGGGAAAGAUUUAUCGGAGAUAGAUGGGCCCGCGUUAGAUUAGCUAGUUGGUGAGGUAACGGCUCACCAAGGCGACGAUCUAUAGCUGGUCUGAGAGGAUGAUCAGCCACACUGGGACUGAGACACGGCCCAGACUCCUACGGGAGGCAGCAGUGGGGAAUAUUGGACAAUGGGCGCAAGUGAUCCAGCCAUGCCGCGUGAGUGAUGAAGGCCUUAGGGUUGUAAAGCUCUUUCAACGGUGAAGAUAAUGACAGUACCUGGUAAAGAAACCCCGGCUAACUCCGUGCCAGCAGCCGCGGUAAUACGGAGGGGGUUAGCGUUGUUCGGAAUUACUGGGCGUAAAGCGUACGUAGGCGGAUCAGAAAGUUGGGGGUGAAAUCCCGGGGCUCAACCCCGAACUGCCUCCAAAACUCCUGGUCUAGAGUUCGAGAGAGGUGAGUGGAAUUCCGAGUGUAGAGGUGAAAUUCGUAGAUAUUCGGAGGAACACCAGUGGCGAAGGGGCUCACUGGCUCGAUACUGACGCUGAGGUACGAAAGUGUGGGGAGCAAACAGGAUUAGAUACCCUGGUAGUCCACACCGUAAACGAUGAAUGCCAGUCGUCGGGUAGCAUGCUAUUCGGUGACACACCUAACGGAUUAAGCAUUCCGCCUGGGGAGUACGGUCGCAAGAUUAAAACUCAAAGGAAUUGACGGGG
rnacentral:rRNA from 1 species